UGAGUAUGUAUAGGAUCUACCUAGUAGUACGGAAUAAUUGUUGGAAACGGCAACUAAUACCGUAUACGCCCUACGGGGGAAAGAUUUAUUGCUAUUAGAUGAGCCUAUAUUAGAUUAGCUAGUUGGUAAGGUAAUGGCUUACCAAGGCAAUGAUCUAUAGCUGAUCUGAGAGGAUGAUCAGCCACACUGGAACUGAGAUACGGUCCAGACUCCUACGGGAGGCAGCAGUGGGGAAUAUUGGACAAUGGGCGAAAGCCUGAUCCAGCCAUGCCGCAUGAGUGAAGAAGGCCUUUGGGUUGUAAAGCUCUUUCGGUGAGGAAGAUAAUGACGGUACUCACAGAAGAAGUCCUGGCUAACUCCGUGCCAGCAGCCGCGGUAAUACGGAGAGGGCUAGCGUUAUUCGGAAUUAUUGGGCGUAAAGAGCGCGUAGGCUGGUUAGUAAGUUAAAAGUGAAAUCCCAAAGCUCAACUUUGGAAUUGCUUUUAAAACUGCUAACCUAGAGAUUGAAAGAGGAUAGAGGAAUUCCUAGUGUAGAGGUGAAAUUCGUAAAUAUUAGGAGGAACACCAGUGGCGAAGGCGUCUAUCUGGUUCAAAUCUGACGCUGAGGCGCGAAGGCGUGGGGAGCAAACAGGAUUAGAUACCCUGGUAGUCCACGCUGUAAACGAUGAAUGUUAAAUAUGGGAAGUUUACUUUCUGUAUUACAGCUAACGCGUUAAACAUUCCGCCUGGGGACUACGGUCGCAAGAUUAAAACUCAAAGGAAUUGACGGGGACCCGCACAAGCGGUGGAGCAUGUGGUUUAAU
rnacentral:rRNA from 2 species